CUUUUUUUUGAUGACGUGGACCACAUGUACAAAAAACUAAUAAAAAAUAUGUACAUGUUAAAAAUAAAUUUUAAAUCAUAUUAAAAUCAUUAAAAAUGAAUAAAAAAAGAAAAGAAAAAUCUCAUCUCACUUUUCCAACCCAGCCAACCCUCUCUCCUUCCCGAUUCAACCCCACCUCUCAGCCACCACUCUCCCGUCGCCUUCUCCUCCCUCCCUUCACCAUGAAUACCCAAAAACCAAAAACAAAAAACUCAGAAAAAAAGCUGCACACAUCUACAUCAUCAAAAAACCCAAAAUUGCUUUUCCAUCAUAUCAAACAAUCCAUUUGGAGAAGAACAAAGAUCUGAAAAGUUGAAAGUGGCUUUUGGCAUCCCUAACACAAUCCAAGACAAUUAAGCAAGUAAAUGAUUAUGGUGGUUGAGAGAGAGUGUGAAGAAAUUCAUGAGGCCGCAGAGCCAUGACAUCAAGUUUUAGUGGACCACUUCUUCUCUGCUUCAGAAAAAAAAAAAAAAUGAAGAAGAGUUGUUUGUAGCUAGACUAGAGUGGUCCAAAAUCAGGAGCCAGAAAUCCCAUAUCCCAUUUUGCAGAAAUCUCUCGCGGUUUCUUCCACACCCAGCCACCCCUUCCCACACCGACAUAGAAAUAACCAAAUAUGAGAUGAAAUUCACGAAAAAACAAAAAAAUUUGAGAUAAACCAAAGCUUCAAAAUGGACAAAACCUCCCCGAUCGAUUUCUCAAAUUCAUAAUCCCAAGCUUCAGAAAGGAUAAACCAAAAAUCUGAGAUAAACCAAAGCUUGCAGAAAUCCCAUAUUCAUAACGCCGAUCGAUUUCUCAUCACACCCGGAUGCCGACGUCAUCGCAGACCUAACCCCCCGCGAACCUUCGAUCUGCAAAACCCAGGUGGUUAGGUUUGUCGAUCUCGAAAACUGCGCGACGUGCAGAUCCCCUUGAAUCGCCGAUCUCAUCAUCGGAACGAGGGCGUCUAGUUCUAUUGGCUCCAUGAUCUGUCGCAUAUCCCACAUAGAGACGGAGAGAGACGGACACAUUCAGAUUGAGAGAGAGAGAGAGAGGGAAGGGAGGUGACUAGGGAUUUGGUAUUCGAUGGGGCUAGGAGGAGAGGGCUCUGGUAUUGAAUUUUUCAUUUUUUUUGCCUUUUUGAAGUUUAAUAAUUUUAAAUUAUUAAAAU
rnacentral:lncRNA from 1 species